UUUACAGCACGAAUGUGUUCCCAUGAAAAUUUUACAUUAAAUCACAAACGAGGAUUAAAUACAUUUCAUUUUGCAGUGCGGUGUGUUUAAAUUGUAGAGUGCAUAACAAAAAGUGCCUUUUUUCGCGAUCGGUGUUUCAGACCAUCGGACGCGAAAUUCUAAAAGAUGUCCAAUCUAUCCUGUCUCUUUUCGAUGCUUAAACCAUGUAAUUGAAUUCUGGGUAUAGACAUACGGUUUCUAUGGACAUUAAUGUGUACGUAAUCGCGAAAUUCAUUUUGAUCUUGAAGAAAGGCGUACAAUUUGUUAUUGCUGCGUUCUGUUCUAGUUACUGAUAGAUAAAUUGUUUGAAAGGGACCGUGGAGAAGAAGUUAAUAGCUUGUUUGUUAAUUACUGUUGAUUCUUGUGAUAUGAUCUUUUGAAACACCCUGUACAGGAUGCAAGAUGUCAUGACACCAUCGUGAUUUUACACCUUUGAUUUUUGUGGAGAUUGAUAAAUGAUUCGUUUGUUUGCAAACUACUGUUGAAGUUUUCAUGGAAGGGUAAAGGACUGCGACAUUCACUAACCAUCGUCAUAUAAAAUUGCAUCCCAAGUUGCCAGUGCGGAAUAACUCAGAACAAGGAAGAGGAACGGCAUGAAAAUAGUCUGAGAAGACACUUGGAGUCAUUUUCUCGCCGAAGCUGGAUAGCCGCAAAAAAAACAGAGAUGAGAAAACGUGAAGCUGUUUAGCUAGCAAUUAGUUUUCCGUUGAUUUGCAUGCGAACGCUACGCUUGUAAAUGUUAAAUGGACUUGUAUUACAUUAGAUACAAGAGGUGUGGUUUAUAAAAUACAAAAAUAUAAAAAUUAAAACCACUUACAUGA